UACAGAGGGUGCGAGCGUUGUUCGGAAUUAUUGGGCGUAAAGGGCUCGUAGGCGGCCAACUAAGUCAGACGUGAAAUCCCUCGGCUUAACCGGGGAACUGCGUCUGAUACUGGUUGGCUUGAAUCCGGGAGAGGGAUGUGGAAUUCCAGGUGUAGCGGUGAAAUGCGUAGAUAUCUGGAGGAACACCGGUGGCGAAGGCGGCAUCCCGGACCGGUAUUGACGCUGAGGAGCGAAAGCCAGGGGAGCAAACGGG
rnacentral:rRNA from 1 species